UACGUAGGUGGCAAGCGUUAUCCGGAUUUAUUGGGCGUAAAGGGAACGCAGGCGGUCUUUUAAGUCUGAUGUGAAAGCCUUCGGCUUAACCGGAGUAGUGCAUUGGAAACUGGGAGACUUGAGUGCAGAAGAGGAGAGUGGAACUCCAUGUGUAGCGGUGAAAUGCGUAGAUAUAUGGAAGAACACCAGUGGCGAAGGCGGCUUACUGGACUGUAACUGACGUUGAGGCUCGAAAGCGUGGGGAGCAAACAGG
rnacentral:rRNA from 1 species